GAGAGGGAGGAAGGGAGGCAAGCAGGCGUGCAGGCAGGGAGGGAGAAACAGAGAGACUGGAAUAGGUGAAGAGAAAAAUAGGGAUGUGAAUUAAUUGAGGGGCAAAAAGAGGGAAGGAGCGAAAAUGGGCAGCACCAGAGCAUGUCAGUGGGAGAUGUUGUGUGCGCACACACAAUGAAGUGGAAAAUUACACCCAGAUGGAAGAGAGAUUGCAAGAGAGAGAGAGAAAGUGGGAAAGGAAGAGGGAUAUACACUAAGAGGACAAAACAUCAAGAACACCUGCUCUUUCCAUGACAGGAGGCAGUAACAGUGUCUUGACCAUGGCUCGACCUCAACAUCCAAAACCAGCACCAGACCAGCUGCCAGAGGAGACAACGGACUGCAGGUCUUAAGGCGAGAAGACUGCUGCUGAGAUGAGCCUUACUGGCCUGCAGCCCUGCCUUGCUUUUUUUCCACAUCUGCUCUCCUCCAGCCACCACUGACCAGACCAGGACCAGCAGACCGCCACCACCCGGAGAAAACUAGACAGUAUUACCGCCAGAGCCGCGGAGGAAGGACCAAAGACACCAACCUAUGCCUGGAGCGAGCAGACCACAGAGGAGUGCCACCAUUGACCAAGUGUGUCUGCCUGCUCUGAGGUUUGUCCUUCCUCCCCUGCAGGACAGGAAAAGACCCAAAAAACACCACCACCAACCACCUCAACAAGUUGACCGAGAUGAACCCAGGAGCGAUGCGCCGCUAAUCCUCAACGAGGAGGCGGCCGAGGACAGAGCCGCAAAUCGCCAGGGAGCAGCAGGAGAAGCAACAACAACCGCCAGACCAGAAGUAAUGAACCGCCUGGAAUUCAGCAGGGCAUUCCUCCAGAGAGGUAUGACCUUUGUGCUGUCUGACCUGAACUGCCUGACAAAACCCCCAGUGCCACAGGAAUCAUUUGGAGCCAGUUUAAGAACUCCCAGUUACUUCAAUAGUUUUUGUCAAAAUUCUGAAAGUGCAAACUCUGAGCAUACCCCCAUUCUGAAACAGAAUCCAAGGUAGUUACAGUACAGUUUCAAAAUUAAUGCAUCCAGGAUUAUGACACAAGUUUGGUUAAGCGCUAUCGACACCCAGUAAGCCAGGGACCACCCUCAAGUUAGCAGCUAGGAGGGUCCUGGAUGAAGACAACGUCUGGACUGGGUCCUGAAAAUGGCUAGUCCUGUUAACCCUUUUAUGUGUACAAUCAUAUAUUUGUGAUCGUUGUUGAGUGGUCCUUGCAGCGUACUAUCGCAAAUAUGUGAUUGGAACAGUAGCAAUAGAACGUAUGAUGCAACAAACAUGUCUGAACAGCAUCUAAAUACUUAAAAAAAACAUUAUUCCUCAAUUUCACCUUUUAUUGUAAAAGAUAAAUGCAAACGUCAUCAUCUAACCAUCACACAGAACAUAUCCACAGCCUAAACAACAGGGUACGACAAAAAAACUAAAUAUAAGUUAGGUCACUAACAGCUAGACUUGUUUACAAUGGACCACAUCUCUGGUGAGGGAGAAAUGUAAUAUUGUUCAGAACAGAGAUACGUGUCAUCUAAGCUAACAGCAGCUAAAAAUAAAACCCCUAGAAAGGUCUGAGCUGGCAAACAGUUACAUUCUAAGUCAGUCCUGACAGAACAUUUUUACUCUUGACAAACACUGAUAACCAUCGAGUAUAGCGAUAACGUCCAGUUUCAAAAGGAAACAUCUCACUGGUGAGGAGAUACGAGAAACAUUUUGUAAUUCUGAUGAUGAACCUGUGUAUGAAAGUAGGUCGGAUCAAUCAGAUAGUGACGAGGAAUAUCUGUCCUCCAACCUUCUGGACUGUGACCGUGAGAUGCCUGAGGACAAUGGUACACACUCCAAGCUUGCAUUCAAUGAGUAUCCCUCACCUUCCCAAGUUGCUGGUGCUGCUGCCAGUCAUUUAGGCUGUGAGGGAGAAGAGGUUGAAAUUGAGGAGGAUGGUCCCCACUGCUGGAGAUCCUGUCACUUCACACAAUCAGAGAUAGACUUCGAUGACACCCUGUCUGGCGUACAAAGCACCCUGCAUACCCCCUUAGAGGCAGAGUGCUUUAAACUGUUCCUUGAUGAGGAAUUAGUGGAGUGUGUGGUGCAGGAAACCAACAGGUAUGCCCAAUAUCAUAUUACAAAAUAAUGGCUUUAGCCUACCAAAUAUGGAUAUUUGUUUGCAGGUAUUCUCAUGAACUGAAAGAGAAGACUGCCCCUGACAUAAAAGGGAAAUUCUCAAAGUGGGUGAACACUACGAUCAGUGAAAUGUAUACCUUCCUGAUCACGGUGCUGCUGACGGGGCUAGUGAAAAAGGGCUCUGCCGGACCACUGACCCCAUGCUGCAGACUUUUCCCCCCAAUCCUCCUCUCCCAGGACCGCUUCCUUGUCUUGCUAAGGGCACUCCACUUUGUGAACAAUGCCACUGCCAACAUCACUGACCCCCAUCACAAAUCAGGAAUGUCCUGGGCACCUUGACCAGGGCAUUUCAAAUAGUGUUUGUGCCUCACUAGAACUUCUGCAUUGAUGAGUCUCUCCUGGCUUGGAAAGGGAGGCUUGCAUUCCGCCAAUACAUCCCAUCAAACCACCACAGAUUUGAGGUCAAGUUCUUUGUUUUAUGUGACUGUCUGACCGCGAAGGUACAGGACUUGAUCGUCUACACCGGCACCACCACAGAUAAAAGGAAUGUUGAGGGUCUUGGCAUGUCUGGAUAAGUGCUGAUCAUCAUGCUGCAGCUUUACCUCAGAAACAGGCACACUGUAUGUGUGGACAACUGGUACAGUACCUCAACCCUUUUCCAGUACUCUUUGAGGGAGAACACAGUGGCCUGUGGCACAGUGAGAUCCAACAGGACGGGGAUGCCAAUAUUCAAAAAGAAAAUAAGCAAGGGGGAGGUGGAGUUCCAAACUAACAUUGAGAUAAUGGCAGUGAAAUGGCACAACAAACGUGAUGUCCAUGUUCAGUCAACUUUGGACACAGGUAAACUGGACAAUGUCACCAGAGCCAGACUGUGUCUUGGAGUACAACAAGAAGAUGGGACCAGUUGAAAGUCGACAUGCAGAACGGUCUUUUUGAGUGUGCCAGAAAGUCCAUUAAACUUCUUCAGGAUCGGUGUCUCCGACAUCAGGGACGAUUGAGCUAACGUAGGCUAAUGCAAUUAGCAUGAUUUUGUAAGUAAUAAGGACAUAAACAUAUCUGAUAUUGGCAAAUAGCUUAGAUUCUUGUUAAUCUAACUGCAGUUUUGAACAUGAAUAGUUAUUCAUAAAAAAUUUGGAACAUUUGGGCAGAUAUGCAAUGGUUCAUUUGAUCAGUCUAAAACUUUACACACACUGUUGCCAUCUAGUUGCCAAAAUUGCCAAAAUUGCAGCUGGGCUGAAAUAAUUCAUUAUGGCCCUUCUCUUGCAUUUCAAAGAUAAUGCUGCAAAAAAAUACAAAAUAACAUUUUUUUUUCUUUCUUUGUAUCAUCUUUUACAUUCUCCUACAUUGCUUUCACAUUUGCACAAACUUCAAAGUGUUUGCUUUCAAAUGCUACCAAUAAUAUGCAUAUCCUUGCUUCAGGGCCUGAUUUACAGGCACUUAGAUUUGGAUAUGUCAUUUUAGGAAAAUUGAAAAAAGUGGCAGAUCCUUAUUAAAUGGUACAAGAAGCUAUUUUUCCACCUAGUAGACAUAGCUCUCCUCAAUUGAAACAUUUUCCACCAGCAGGUCACAGGACAGGUCAUCUCAGAUAAACCUGAUGCGGCAGCUCAUUGAGGACCACCACACUCCUCGUCGGCCUGCCUCUGACAAGCCUCUACGCCUCACUGGACACCACUUCCUAAGUGAUGUCCCUCAGACCACCCUGCAAGGGAAACACACAAGGAGGCAUUGUAAGGUGUCUAACAUCUACCCCACGACAGAAACAAAGACAGAUGCACAAGUACAUCAAUCAAAUGUAUUUACAAAGUUCUUUUUACAUCAACAGAUGUCAAAGUGCUAUACAGAAACCCAGCCUAAAACCCUAAACAGCAAGGAAUGCAGAAGCACGGUUGCGAGGAAAAACUCCAUAGAAAAGCAGGAACCUAGAGAGGAACCAGGCUCUGAGGGGUGGCCAAUCCUCUUCUGGCUGUGCCAGGUGGCGACAGUCCAUGGCCAUUUAGGCCAGAUUGAUGUUCAAACGUUCAUAGAUGACCAGCAGGGUCAAUUAGAGGUCGAAACAUCAGGUGGAGAGAGAGAGAGGGUGUCCGGGACAAGGUAGCACGUCCGGUGAACAGGUCAGGGUGGACUGGGGACAGCUAUGAGUCAUCAGGCCAGGUUCUAAGGCUCAGAUCCUCCAGGGGGGGAGGGAGAGAGAAUGAAUUAGAGGAAGCAUACUUAAAUUAAAAAAAGACACCCGACAACACAGGAGAAUUACACCAGAUAUAACAGACUGACCCUAGCUCCCCGGCACAUAGAAUAUUGCAGCAUAGAUCCUGGAGGCUGAGACAGGGCCAACCAGACAGGCUAUACCCCAGGACAGGGCCAAGCAGGCAGGAUUUAACCCCACCAACUUUGCCAAAGCACAGCCCCCACAUUUACAUACGUAUUCAGACCCUUUGCUAUGAGACUCGAAAUGUAGCUCAGGUGCAUCCUGUUUUCAUCCUUGAUGUUUCUACAACUUGAUUGGAGUCCACCUGUGGUAAAAUCAAUUGAUUGGACUUGAUUUGAAGAGGCACACACCUGUCUAUAUCAGGUCCCACAGCUGACAGUGCAUGUCAGAGAAAAAAACAAGCCAUGAGGUCAAAGGAAUUGUACCUCGAGCUCCGAGACAGGAUUGUGUCGAGGCACAGAUCUGGGGAAGGGUACCAAAACAUUUCUAAAGCAUUGAAGGUCCCCAAGAACACAGUGACCUCCAUCAACAUCAAAUGGAAGAAGUUUGGAACCACCAAGACUCUUCCUAGAGCUGGCCACCAAGCCAAACUAAGCAAUCGGGGGACAAGGGCCUUGGUCAGGGAGGUGACCCCGAUGGUCACUCUGACAGAAGUCUAGAGUUCCUCUGUGGAGAUGGGAGAACAUUCCGGAAGGACAACCAUCUCUGCUGCACUCUACCAAUCAGGCCCUUAUGUUAGAGUGGGCAGAAAGAAGCAACUCCUCAGUAAAAUGCACAUGACAGCCCGCUUGGAGUUUGCCGAAAGGUGCCUAAAAGACUCUCAGACCAUGAGAAAGAAGAUUCUCUGGUCUGAUGAAACCAAGAUCGAACUCUUUGGCCUGAAUGCCAAGAGUCACGUCUGGAGGAAACCUUGCACCUUCCCUACGGCGAAGCAUGGUGGUGGCGAUAUCAUGCUAUGGUCAUUUUUUUCAGGGGCAGGGACUGGGACACUGUUCAGGAUCGAGGGAACGAAGAACAGAGCAAAGUACAGAGAGAUACUUGAUAAAAACCUGCUCCAGAGCACUCAGGACCUCAGACUGGGGCAAAGGUUCACCUUCCAACAGAACAACGACCCUAAGCACACAGCCAAGACAACGCAGGAGUGGCUUCUAGACAAGUCUCUGAAUGUCCUUGAGUGGCCCAGCCAGACUCCGGACUUGAACUCGAUCGAACAUCUCUGAGGAGACUUGAAAAUAGCUGUGCAGCGACGCUCCCCAUCCAGCUUAAGAGGAUCUGCAGAGAAGAAUGGGAAAAACUCCCCAAAUACAGUUGUGCCAAGCUUGUAGCAUCAUACCUAAGAAGACUCGACGCUGUAGUCGCUGCCAAAGGUACUUCAACAAAGUUACUGAGUAAAGGGUCUGAAUACUUACACAACUGUUUAGAAGUUUGGGGUCACUUAGACAUUUCCUUGUUUUUGAAAGAAAAGCACAUUUUUUGUCCAUGAAAGUAACAUGAAAUACAGUGUUGACAUUGUUAAUGUUGUAAAUGACUAUUGUAGCUGGAAAAUGCAGAUGUUUUAUGGAAUAGCUACAUAGGUGUACAGAGGCCCAUUAUCAGCAAACAUCACUCCUGUGUUCCAAUGACAUGUUGUGUUAGCUAAUCCAAGUUUAUUUCGUUUUAAUUAGAAAAACCUUUUGCAAUUAUGUUAGCACAGCUGAAAACUGUUGUUCUAAUUAAAGAAGCAAUAAACCUGGCCUUCUUUAGACUAGUUGAGUAUCCGGAGCAUCAGCAUUUGUGGGUUCGAUUACAAGCUCAACAUGGCUAGAAACAAAGACCUUUCUUCUGAAACUCAUCAGGCUAUUCCAUGCGAGAAAUUGAAGAUCUCGUACAACUCUGUGUACUACUCCCUUCACAGAACAGCGCAAACUGUCUCUAACCAUAAUAGAAAGAGAAGUGGGAGGCCCCUGUGCACAACUGAGCAAGAGGACUAGACAGACACCUCACAAGUCCUCAACUGGCAGCUUCAUUAAAUAGUACCCGCAAAACACCAGUCUCAACGUCAGCAGUGAAGAGGGGACUCCGGGAUGCUGACCUUCCAGGCAGAAUUGCAAAUAAAAAGCCCUAUCUCAGACUGGCCAAUAAAAAGAAAAGAUUAAUAUAGGCAAAAUAACACUGACACUGGACAGAGGAAUUCUGCCUAGAAAGCAUCUGAAUACUUUCAGAAUGGUCAGUUUCUGAAAUAAAACAGAACAAAAAGAGUAGGCAAUCAAAAAUUGUUCCUUUAUGCUGAUAUGAAAGAAAAAUAGAAAAAAUAAAGUGAAAUGUAUGAUGUGUUUGAUGCAUAGUGGGUGAGGGGGGGGGAUUGGAGAAAUGU